UAUCCGUAGGUGAACCUGCGGAAGGAUCAUUAUAGUACAGUAUGUGUGAGGCAUGCGUGGGCUGUUGCUGACCCAAAAGUCGUGCAUGCCCGUGUGUGUCCUCUCGCAUAAUAAUCCAUCUCACCCUUAGCGCAUCACCGCGUGAGCACCCUUCGGGAUCAUCUCGGAGGGGAGAACGCGUUUUCAAACAAACCCCCCUUUUAAAAGUGUAGAAUGACCACAUUUAUGCAAUCAAUACAACUUUCAACAACGGAUCUCUUGGCUCUC
rnacentral:misc_RNA from 1 species